AGGGUUUGAUCCUGGCUCAGAUUGAACGCUGGCGGCAGGCCUAACACAUGCAAGUCGAGCGGAAACGAUGGUAGCUUGCUACCAGGCGUCGAGCGGCGGACGGGUGAGUAACGCGUGAGAAUCUGCCCAUUUGUGGGGGAUAACUCGGGGAAACUCGAGCUAAUACCGCAUAAUCCCUACGGGGGAAAGCAGGGGACCUUCGGGCCUUGUGCAGAUGGAUGAGCUCGCGUCGGAUUAGCUUGUUGAUGAGGUAAAGGCUCACCAAGGCGACGAUCCGUAGCUGGUCUGAGAGGAUGAUCAGCCACACCGGGACUGAGACACGGCCCGGACUCCUACGGGAGGCAGCAGUGGGGAAUCUUGGACAAUGGGGGCAACCCUGAUCCAGCCAUGCCGCGUGUGUGAAGAAGGCCUUCGGGUUGUAAAGCACUUUCAGUAGGGAGGAAGGCUUACCGCUAAUAACGGUGAGUACUUGACGUUACCUACAGAAGAAGCACCGGCUAAUUUCGUGCCAGCAGCCGCGGUAAUACGAAAGGUGCGAGCGUUAAUCGGAAUUACUGGGCGUAAAGCGCGCGUAGGCGGUUUGUUAAGUCAGAUGUGAAAGCCCCGGGCUCAACCUGGGAAUUGCAUUUGAAACUGGCAGGCUAGAGUGCAGUAGAGGGAGGUGGAAUUUCCGGUGUAGCGGUGAAAUGCGUAGAGAUCGGAAGGAACACCAGUGGCGAAGGCGGCCUCCUGGACUGACACUGACGCUGAGGUGCGAAAGCGUGGGGAGCAAACAGGAUUAGAUACCCUGGUAGUCCACGCCGUAAACGAUGUCUACUAGUCGUUGGGAAUCUUAGUAUUCUUGGUGACGAAGUUAACGCGAUAAGUAGACCGCCUGGGGAGUACGGCCGCAAGGUUAAACUCAAUGAAUUGACGGGGGCCGCACAAGCGGUGGAGCAUGUGGCUUAAUUCGAUGCAACGCGAAAACCUUACCAGCCUUGACAUCCUUGGAACUUCUAAAGAUAGAUUGGUGCUUCUGGGAGCCAAUGAAAGUGCUGCAUGCUGUCGUUCACCUCUGUCUUGAUAUUAGUAAGAUACCGUACGAGCCACCUUGUUCCGAUGCAGACUCGUGAACUAGGAAUGCGUCAAUCAGCAGUGGACCUAACUCAUGCCUUACGCCUGGGU
rnacentral:rRNA from 1 species